rnacentral:hammerhead_ribozyme from 1 species
GCACUGUUGAAGAGUCCAAUAAUGGGACGAAACGUACGUCCAUUGC